rnacentral:rRNA from 1 species
AGCGAACGCUGGCGGCAGGCCUAACACAUGCAAGUCGAACGAACUCUUCGGAGUUAGUGGCGGACGGGUGAGUAACACGUGGGAACGUGCCUUUUGGUUCGGAAUAACUCAGGGAAACUUGUGCUAAUACCGAAUGUGCCCUUCGGGGGAAAGAUUUAUCGCCAUUAGAGCGGCCCGCGUCUGCUUAGCUGGUUGGUGAGGUAACGGCUCACCAAGGCGACGAUCAGUAGCUGGUCUGAGAGGAUGACCAGCCACACUGGGACUGAGACACGGCCCAGACUCCUACGGGAGGCAGCAGUGGGGAAUCUUGCGCAAUGGGCGAAAGCCUGACGCAGCCAUGCCGCGUGAAUGAUGAAGGUCUUAGGAUUGUAAAAUUCUUUCACCGGGGACGAUAAUGACGGUACCCGGAGAAGAAGCCCCGGCUAACUUCGUG